rnacentral:rRNA from 1 species
UUUGGGACGAAGUGACUGACACCACGCUUCCAGGAAAAGCCACUAAGCUUCAGCUGUAGAAAAACCGUACCGCAAACCGACACAGGUAGCCAGGGUGAGAAUCCCAAGGCGCUUGAGAGAACUCGGGUGAAGGAACUAGGCAAAAUGGCACCGUAACUUCGGGAGAAGGUGCGCCUCUUGGUGUGGUCACGUGCGUGACUGAGCAUCGAGGGGUCGCAGUAACCUGGCCGCUGCGACUGUUUAUCAAAAACACAGCACUCUGCAAACACGAAAGUGGACGUAUAGGGUGUGACGCCUGCCCGGUGCUGGAAGGUUAAUUGAUGGGGUCAGCCGCAAGGCGAAGCUCUUGAUCGAAGCCCCAGUAAACGGCGGCCGUAACAAUAACGGUCCUAAGGUAGCGAAAUUCCUUGUCGGGUAAGUUCCGACCUGCACGAAUGGCGUAACGACAGCGGCGCUGUCUCCACCCGAGACUCAGUGAAAUUGAAAUCGCUGUGAAGAUGCAGCGUUCCCGCGGCAAGACGGAAAGACCCCGUGAACCUUUACUAUAGCUUUACACUGAACGUUGAGUUCUUCUGUGUAGGAUAGGUGGGAGGCUAUGAAACCAGGACGCUAGUUCUGGUGGAGCCAUCCUUGAAAUACCACCCUGGAGUGCUUGACGUUCUAACCUAGGUCCGUAAUCCGGAUCGGGGACCGUGUAUGGUGGGUAGUUUGACUGGGGCGGUCUCCUCCCAAAGAGUAACGGAGGAGCACGAAGGUACGCUCAGCGCGGUCGGACAUCGCGCACUGUGUACAAAGGCAUAAGCGUGCUUGACUGCGAGAUCGACGGAUCAAGCAGGUACGAAAGUAGGUCUUAGUGAUCCGGUGGUUCUGUAUGGAAGGGCCAUCGCUCAACGGAUAAAAGGUACUCCGGGGAUAACAGGCUGAUACCGCCCAAGAGUUCAUAUCGACGGCGGUGUUUGGCACCUCGAUGUCGGCUCAUCACAUCCUGGGGCUGUAGCCGGUCCCAAGGGUAUGGCUGUUCGCCAUUUAAAGUGGUACGCGAGCUGGGUUCAGAACGUCGUGAGACAGUUCGGUCCCUAUCUGUCGUGGGCGUUGGAGAUUUGAGGGGGGCUGCUCCUAGUACGAGAGGACCGGAGUGGACGUUCCGCUGGUGUUCGGGUUGUCAUGCCCAUGGCAUUGCCCGGUAGCUACGAACGGAAGUGAUAACCGCUGAAAGCAUCUAAGCGGGAAGCACGCCCCAAGAUGAGAUCUCCCGAGAGCUUGACUCUCCUAAAGGCACCAUCAAGACUAGGUGGUUGAUAGGCACGGUGUGGAAGUGCAGCAAUGCAUUGAGCUUACGUGUACUAAUGAGCCGUGAGGCUUGACC